CAUCUAGGCGGCUUAUUAAGUCAGAAGUGAAAUACCGGGGCUCAACCCCGGGGACUGCUUUUUGAAACUGAUUCGCUAGAAUACGGGAUAGGAGGGCGGAACUACAAGUGUAGAGGUGAAAUUCGUAGAUAUUUGUAGGAAUGCCGAUGACGAAGGUAGCUCUCUGGACCGACAUUGACGCUGAAGUGCGAAAGCUAGGGUAGCAAACA
rnacentral:rRNA from 1 species